AUGCUACAAGCUUCUCACAAUCCUGUGAUCCAGCCAACUGUCCUAUACAGGAAUCAGCACAGGAAGAGCAUGAGGUCUGUAUGCACACCCACAAAAGGAAGAACAUAUGAGGUCAAAAUACCAUCUCUGAAGGACUCUCAGAAGUUCAAAUGCAAAGGUUGUGAACUGAAUCACCUUCUGGAGCUUCUUCUGUCUCUGUUGUCGGUGCAGGGGUGCAGGGACUCUGAAGUAGCUGUGCUCUCCAGGCAUAUGUUCAUCUUCACCUGCUGCAGUGACUUGUGCCAGUAGUCAAGCUUUUAAAAAGUUUUGAUAGUGUUUCAAUCUAGUGCUAAUCCAGCCACACUCUCCACUUCAGUGAGAGAGCUGCUGUAUUCCGAAUAACGAUCCUGAAAAUUCCAGUAAACAUCUACUUCAAAUUUUUUUCUGUCAUAAUUCAGAGACUUAACUUUCUAAGACUAAUGGCUCCCACUUCCAUGCAUGUGUUGGUGAUUAGCUUUUUGGCUUAGGCCUCUAAAGAGCAGGAAACUUGUUUUUGAUAAGUGCAAGCGAACAUGAAUGCCUGGGCCAGUUGAGAGCCCCAGAACUGGGGAUGUUCUCCACCUGUAAUUGUCUCUGGACAAGGAAGAAAUCUCACCAUGUCAAGACACGCUCCCAACACAUGUGAGCAGCAGCUUGAGAUAUUCCAGUUGGAGUACAUCUUGUUUGGAGGAAAGAGGGAGAAGUUAGUAUCCUCUGCUGACAGAGGUGACGAAACAAGAAGGAACUGAAUGUGCCAUAGGAAAGAAGAUAAUAUGAUUGUUUGUACAGUUUCCCAUUAAGCUGAAUGAAAACACUGACAGUCAUUAUUUGAAGGGAUUUGGGAUUUGGAGCUGUAAUUUAUUGUAUUUUUUCCCCUAGGCUGCUGGAAGUACAAAGCAUUUCCUCAGUGCAGGUUGUAGAAGUAAAGAAGCGGCAUCCUUUCUGUUUCAUUUUUUCUUGUUUUCAGGAAAUUCAUAUUGCUAUAAAUACUUCUGUUUUUUGUAUGUGUGUUUAUUUGUUUGGUUGUUUGUUUUAAGCAAUGAUUUGACAUAGCAGAAUAUUUAAACUGAACACAAAAUGCACAGUAUAUUUGAUAAAUUCAGUUGAAUCCACAUAUUACUGUUCAUCUCUUUUGUCUAAUCUUUAUCAUGUACUACAGUGAAUCAUUUUAAAGUCCUUUUGCUUUGUAUAUUGCUGGCAUGUUUUGUGGAUUUGCUUUGCAGGAAAUUUUUUCUGUAGUAGUCCUGCUGAGCGGAAAUGUAAAAAUGAAUUAAAAACUGCUAUGGAAGUUAAUUCUAAAAGAAUAUUUCCUAGUAGCUUGUGAGAAAUGAAGAAAGAGCAUUCAGGAUACAGUCACUGCUACCAUGCUGCAAGAGAGGUGUAAAAAAAGUUAUUGUUAUGUAGUGUUGUCCCUAAAUACACAUUUGGAGUUUUAGUUCUAGAUUUGUUUGACAUAUUUGGAGCAUGUGACAAGAGCUUCAAAAAUUUUCCACUUUCUCAACCAGCCUUCAACACUUGUGAAAUAAACUGACUACAGAGUGCCAUGUUAUAACUCCAUUCUCUCUUCCCUAUCUUUUUUUUUUUUUAACAGAAAUAUGUUCACAGGGAAUAGUUUCAGGACUCUGGACUGAAUCAGGCUGACAAAGUCUUGCAAUAACGUUAAGUAGUGAACAUUGUUUAUUUUGGCCUACUUCCUGAAUUCUUUUAGUCUUUCAUUGCUUACCUUUUUUUUUUUUCUUCUUUUCUGUAUUCUCAGGGAAAGAUUAGUUUUCUCAUGUGAAAAGAAGUCACCAAAAAUAUGGAAGGUGAUUGAGGUUAAUAGUUCUAUUCAGUGGUAAUGAAAAAUGAUUAUUUUUCAUCAGCAUUAACUGUAUUUAUUAUCCAGAAUGAUAGUUGUCCUUUCCACAUUUGUAUGGAACUUGCCAUUGCCAUUUUCUUAUCUUGCACAUAUAGGUGUGUAACCCAUAUGCAGCAAGCCAGUUAAAUAAGAAUUGAUUAGACUUCCUAAUUAACUGUGAAAACUCAAUUUUUUAAUCUAAAAAUGUCCCACUUUUAAAAAGCUCUAUCAGUGAUUCAGUUCUUAUUUCUACGCUGAAACUGGCUAUAGUCUAAAGACUUUAAACAGAUCAUUUAUAAAUAGAGUCUCUAUUUUUUAUAGGAUUUUUUUAAUCAUAGGAAACCUCUCAAUGCUUUUAACAAAAAUGUGUCUUAAGGUAGAUGAGUGAAGAGAUUAUAAUGCAAGUGUCUCAGGAAAAAAGCAAAAAAUAUCACAAAGAAUGAAAUGUUGCAAAAUUUAAAACAAGAACAACAACCAAAAAAACCCCACUAGGAACAUGAUCUGCAAGGAAAGAAUAAAGCAUGAGUGAAGCUUCUCCUUCUGGUUGCUAACUGAGGCAUGGCAACAUAUACAAAGAUAAUCUCUCUUAUUCUUUUCCUUCUGUGUUUAGAAAGAGAUUUAUUUACUUUUUUUUUUAAGAAAUAAAUUAGAUUACAUUGGCAUUACUAAAAAUUCCUAUUGCUACUCAAACCAAUCCCCAACUCUUGUGACCCAAAAUAUUACUUGAAGUGCAGUAGACAAAGCAAGGUAAUAUCACAUCUGCUCACAAUGGAAAUCGGCAGAGAGUGGAUGAAAAGCAAAUGUACAAAGACCACUUUUUUUUUCUGGAUGACUAUUGUUACCACAUGUGCUAUGCAUAAAUAUAUAUUAAAUGCAAAAGUUUUAUCACCACCUGUUUCCUGCUUUUUCAGAUUAAUUAUGUUGCUUACAAGAUUAAUCUACCAAUUUGGUUGAAAUCUUUUGUUAUUAUCACCUGUAUGAGAAUAUGUUAAAUUUUUAUAUUACAUUUUAAUUUUAC
rnacentral:lncRNA from 1 species